rnacentral:rRNA from 1 species
GAUGAACGCUGACAGAAUGCUUAACACAUGCAAGUCAACUUGAACUUCGGUUUGGGUGGCGGACGGGUGAGUAACGCGUAAAGAACUUGCCUCACAGUUAGGGACAACAUUUGGAAACGAAUGCUAAUACCUGAUAUUAUGAUUUUAGGGCAUCCUAGAAUUAUGAAAGCUAUAUGCGCUGUGAGAGAGCUUUGCGUCCCAUUAGCUAGUUGGAGAGGUAACGGCUCACCAAGGCGAUGAUGGGUAGCCGGCCUGAGAGGGUGAACGGCCACAAGGGGACUGAGACACGGCCCUUACUCCUACGGGAGGCAGGAGUGGGGAAUAUUGGACAAUGGACCAAGAGUCUGAUCAAGCAAUUCUGUGUGCACGAUGAAGUUUUUCGGAAUGUAAAGUGCUUUCAGUUGGGAAGAAAAAAAUGACGGUACCAACAGAAGAAGUGACGGCUAAAUACGUG